CCUGGUGCUUUGGCGGAAGGGAUAUACCCGUUCUCAUUCCGAACACGGCAGUUAAGUCUUCCAGCACCGAUGGUACUCGUAUGGGGAGAGUAGGUCGGCGCCAGGA
rnacentral:rRNA from 2 species